rnacentral:lncRNA from 1 species
UGAAUAUUAUAUUUGGGUUUUAACUAGAAGUAAAAUAAAAUACAUUUUUUUGCAUUACAGAGCAGAUUCACACUUCCUGAGCCAGAAAGUACAUUCUGAUUUUGAAAACAGUUCCAAGUUGUAUUAUAUGUUGUUUAAGACGAAAUAUAAAUCCUGCCUGUUGACUUUAAAGGGACCAUCACAUCUGCAUGAUGAGUGAGGCUUGCCCACAGCUUUCUUGCAAAUUUUGGUUGGGAAGCUUUAUCUUUGUGGGAGCCCAGCUGUAUACUUUGCUGAGUGAGCUACACAGUGCAAUAGUUCCAGCUUUUUGGUCUUUUCUGC